rnacentral:rRNA from 1 species
AGUGAACGCUGGCGGUAGGCCUAACACAUGCAAGUCGAACGGCAGCACAGUAAGAGCUUGCUCUUACGGGUGGCGAGUGGCGGACGGGUGAGGAAUACAUCGGAAUCUACUUUUUCGUGGGGGAUAACGUAGGGAAACUUACGCUAAUACCGCAUACGACCUACGGGUGAAAGCAGGGGAUCUUCGGACCUUGCGCGAUUGAAUUAGCCGAUGUCGGAUUAGCUAGUUGGCGGGGUAAAGGCCCACCAAGGCGACGAUCCGUAGCUGGUCUGAGAGGAUGAUCAGCCACACUGGAACUGAGACACGGUCCAGACUCCUACGGGAGGCAGCAGUGGGGAAUAUUGGACAAUGGGCGCAAGCCUGAUCCAGCCAUACCGCGUGGGUGAAGAAGGCCUUCGGGUUGUAAAGCCCUUUUGUUGGGAAAGAAAAGCAGCAUGUUAAUCCCCCGCUGUUCUGACGGUACCCAAAGAAUAAGCACCGGCUAACUUCGUG